ACAAAGUGUAGUCCGUCUAUCAGAACAUGGUCAGCCACACAGGAUGACAUUUUAACCACGGCUGAUGACUGAGCGAGGUAACUAGGUAACCAUAGCAACAGUACAUACACUAGCACAACCUUGCCUUCAGCUGGUGGUCUUUGUAUGAGGACAGUGCUCGGGUAUUAUACUCAAGUAAAAAAGUGUCUGAAGUGUAUAAUGGACCUGCCGCCUCCGUUAGCAGACGCGCCUGUAGACACGCUCAGAUGAAGGUCCAGGACCAGCAGAGGAGGUGACGGAUGGAGAGCAAAGAGCCAGAACAUCCGAGAAAGACUCGGUGACUCACAGAACAAGCGACGCAGACUGUUUUAAAGAAGAUUUAAUCUGACAUGAAACCCUGAUGUGUUUCUGAACCGGACGAGCGUCUCUGCUGACUCUUCAUCUGAAAGUGUUGCCUCGUCCUGCAGAAGGAACAGAAUGACAAGUCGACUCUUAAAGGUUUUGUUUUUGCUGCAGGAGGUGAAAAGAGUUGAACUUCUGUUCAUGAAUUCAUCUUCAUGUGGAAUCAUCAUCUGCUCAUUUUGAAUCAGGUGUCAGGUGUUAAAGUGUUAAAGACGUGCAACAGGAACAGACCUUCAGUUAAAGCAGACGAAGCCUGGAGAGAAACAAGGAACAACUCCAAGUGUCAAAGUGUGUGUGUGUGUGUGUGUGUGUGUGUGUGUGUGUGUGUGUGUGUGUGCAGAAUUGAGACAAAAGCAACAAAGUUCUGAAGAGAAGAAUUAGGACCAGAGGGGAGGAAGGAAGCAGCUCGGAAUAAAUGUGUCGGAGCGAGCGAGCGCUGGGACUGAUCCAGCAGCAGAUUCUGCACAUAAUGAAUAGUUCGGAGGCUGUGGUUUGCACACAGCGCUGCAGCCGUAACAGAUGAAGAUGGAUUAGCGUCUCUGCGCGUCUGUCUUAGGGAAGCAGAAACAGGACGGAGAAGCACCGACACUCGCAGCAGAAACACAUUACUCCACCCUGCCAAGGUCCCCUGAUGAAAGCUUCAGCAAUUCUAUUGGCUGCUUAUCAAAACCAAGACGCAGCAGUUUCCUCUCCUCUGCCUCUGUAUCUGUCGCCUCCCUCCUCCUCCUCCUCCUCCUCCUCCUCCUGCUGACUCGGCUGAGGAGCUGCUGUCCUUCUUUUGUUCGGUGACAUUUUGUGUCUCAAUGUUUGGGUGAACGUUUGCCUCCUCUUCAUAAUAUGAGACAGUCUACAGACCACAUCACCUUUCAGAACAAGACCAGGAGCACAGCUGAGUCGACAUCAGUGUGCACAGUAACACGGUCCAGGUUCAGAACCAGGAAGUUCAGAUCAGCAAAGAAAAUAAAAAAUAAAAGACAGCAGGUAUAAACUCUGAGUUGUGAGGAUAAAGACUGGUCACUGACGUCUCUCAUUCUGAUCAUGAUGAUUUAAUCUUGGGCUGCACAAACACAGAACAUUCACAGAACAAUACAUGCUGCCAUGUUUGAGUCCUGCUGCUAUUAGAAACUGUGGUGAAAAUCAAAGUGAUAGAAAAGAUCCGUUCUGUCUGCUGAGUGCUCCCAGUCGAGGGUCGCGCUGGGUUUCAUGGCCUCCCUGCUUGCUGUCGAACAUCCCGUCAGAUUAUAUUUACUGUUUGUCAACCGCACGCACAGAUGUUGCU